rnacentral:rRNA from 1 species
AACGAACGCUGGCGGCAUGCCUAACACAUGCAAGUCGAACGAGAUCUUCGGAUCUAGUGGCGCACGGGUGCGUAACGCGUGGGAAUCUGCCCUGGGGUACGGAAUAACUCAGAGAAAUUUGAGCUAAUACCGGAUGAUGACGUAAGUCCAAAGAUUUAUCGCCCAAGGAUGAGCCCGCGUAAGAUUAGGUAGUUGGUGGGGUAAAGGCCUACCAAGCCGACGAUCCUUAGCUGGUCUGAGAGGAUGAUCAGCCACACUGGGACUGAGACACGGCCCAGACUCCUACGGGAGGCAGCAGUGGGGAAUAUUGGACAAUGGGCGAAAGCCUGAUCCAGCAAUGCCGCGUGAGUGAUGAAGGCCCUAGGGUUGUAAAGCUCUUUUACCCGGGAAGAUAAUGACAGUACCGGGAGAAUAAGCCCCGGCUAACUCCGUGCCAGCCGCCGCCGUAACAC